AGCACUAUGACAACAACUGACUUCAACAGACUAAACAGAGGGAAAGAAAACACUCUGCAGAGAUAUGCAGCUUUCUGUGAAUUCAGAGGUGGGAAGGAACGAUUGGUCAGUGCUGGAUAGAUUGGCAGAAAGAUUCUUCCUAGCCAAACAAACUACAAGCAACGUGUCAGCAAAGAAAAGGCCAGAAGGCACCGAAAGCAUGACAAGGACUCUGUAAACGUCAGUUGACCAAGAGAAGGAAACAAACAAACAAACAAACAAAACCCAGGACCAUCUGCCCUGCUGAAAGACCCCAUGUUCCCUUUCCUGCUGCUCAUUGUGGGAUCAAUGAUACGACAAUAGCAAUGGCUAUAGCUUGGCCCUUGGGAUCCCGAGCCGCAUUCUGCCGAGGAAAACAAAUGUGAAUAAAAACUCAGACAAAAAAGGCUGGGAGCUAAGCUUCGUCCAAGGUCACAAAUUAUUUAUGAUCUUAACAUUUCAUAUUAGAACAGAGAAGUUGUUUUCCUGUCUGUCCUUACCCGAGGAGCGAUCACAUCUAUUCUGGCUAGAUGGCACUGUGGUAUAUAAAAUGCCAAAAGGCUGUAAGUUAGAAGUGACCUGCUUUUCUCUGUGUUCCAUCUGUACACUGUGUGCUUUAUUUCUUGUUUGGAAAGAAACCUUUAAUACUUGAUGAAGUUGUUGAUGCCCAUGUUUUUCUUGUUUAAGUCGUGGGCUUCACUUAUUUUCUACCAGACACUAGUUCCACCUUUGUAAGUAACCAGAAUCCAUUUUGCCUCUUCACCUGUAAACAAAGUA